rnacentral:misc_RNA from 1 species
CCAAACUUGGUCAUUUAGAGGAAGUAAAAGUCGUAACAAGGUUUCCGUAGGUGAACCUGCGGAAGGAUCAUUAUCGAGUUUUUGAAGCGAGGUCUGUUGCUGGUGCGGAAACGCGCAUGUGCACGGCUUUCGCGCUCAAAUCCACUCAACCCCUGUGCACCUUUAUCCUGUCGAAGCGAGUAGUUUGGGACCUUUGAGGACGUGUGUAGCAGUAGCCGGCCAAGUAGAAAGGGGAAGGGUAACAGCUCUCCAUUCGAAAGGCGAAGCGUCGUCUCUCGUCUAGCUCGGGCGAAAGCUUUGGCUUGUAUUUAAAAACCACAUUUGUUGUCUUGUGAAUGCAAACGCUCCUCGUGGGCGAAAAUAAAUACAACUUUCAACAACGGAUCUCUUGGCUCUCGCAUCGAUGAAGAACGCAGC